AAGCUCGUAGUUGAAUUUCGGGGUUAGUAGGUUGGUCAUGCCUCUGGUAUGUACUGGUCUCACUGAUUCCUCCUUCCUUAUGAACCGUAAUGCCAUUAAUUUGGUGUUGCGGGGAAUUUGGACUGUUACUUUGAAAAAAUUAGAGUGUUUAAAGCAAGCUAACGCUUGAAUACAUUAGCAUGGAAUAAUGAAAUAGGACGUUCGAUCUUAUUUUGUUUGGUCUCUAGGAUUGACGUAAUGAUUAAUAGGAUAGUUGGG
rnacentral:rRNA from 1 species